rnacentral:tRNA from 1 species
UGGCUCUUGGUUCAAUCGGGCAGAACGUCGGACUCUGGAUCCGAAGAUCCUGGUUCGAAUCCAGGAGAGCCAG